ACGUUAGCGGCGGACGGGUGAGUAACACGUGGGUAACCUACCUAUAAGACUGGGAUAACUUCGGGAAACCGGAGCUAAUACCGGAUAAUAUUUCGAACCGCAUGGUUCGACAGUGAAAGAUGGUUUUGCUAUCACUUAUAGAUGGACCCGCGCCGUAUUAGCUAGUUGGUAAGGUAACGGCUUACCAAGGCGACGAUACGUAGCCGACCUGAGAGGGUGAUCGGCCACACUGGAACUGAGACACGGUCCAGACUCCUACGGGAGGCAGCAGGU
rnacentral:rRNA from 1 species